GGUAGAAUCAAUCCGAGAUAGAAUUAAAUUUUGAAAAGAUAUAAAACUAUAGUAAAUUCCGUCCGUUUAUAUCCGAUCGUGAAUUUUCCACGCGAAAUGCCCCGCCGCAGUGGAAAUUCAGGCGGAAAAGUGGAGGAAAUUUAUACAAUUUCCCGCUCGUCGCCCGUUUACGCCAAAAUCUACGAUCCACCCCGAAUCUACAUACGACCGAAUUAGGAAUGAUUGUAGGUUGUCCUUGGUCUUAAUGGGGCAUCUUUCGAUUUUCUAGUGCAAGACUAUCCACUUAUACAACCAUAGAUGACGCGGAGUUUGGAUUCCACUUUCGAGGAAAUUGAGUAGGAAUAGUCGCAUAGGCUACGUGACGUCAUUGAGCUUCUCAGCGAGAAACGUGGAAGUUGCACAUCUUCUCGAGGGAGUUAACCAGUGGACCAUACGCAAAGGAUUCAGGACCAGUUUUACGUUUUGGGCAUCACAUCAUUCACAGAUGUUUAAAAUUAGCUUUAGAAUAAUACAGUGUGUUUUUGGGUCAUGCCCAA